rnacentral:rRNA from 1 species
GUAAGGAAUAUUGGUCAAUGGACGAAAGUCUGAACCAGCCAUGCCGCGUGAAGGAUGAAGGCCCUCUGGGUUGUAAACUUCUUUUAUCUGGGACGAAAAAAGGGUAUUCUUACUCACUUGACGGUACCAGAGGAAUAAGCACCGGCUAACUCCGUGCCAGCAGCCGCGGUAAUACGGAGGGUGCAAGCGUUAUCCGGAUUCACUGGGCUUAAAGGGUGCGUAGGUGGGUAUUUAAGUCAGUGGUGAAAUCUCCAGGCUUAACUCGGAAACUGCCAUUGAUACUAUUUACCUUGAAUGCCCUGGAGGUAAGCGGAAUAUGUCAUGUAGCGGUGAAAUGCUUAGAUAUGACAUAGAACACCAAUUGCGAAGGCAGCUUACUACGGGGUGAUUGACACUGAGGCACGAAAGCGUGGGGAGCAAACAGGAUUAGAAACCCCUGUAGUCC